rnacentral:rRNA from 1 species
UACGGGGGGAGCAAGCGUUGUUCGGAUUUACUGGGCGUAAAGGGCGCGUAGGCGGCCAGCACAAGUCGGUUGUGAAAUCUCCGGGCUUAACCCGGAAAGGUCAGCCGAUACUGCGGGGCUAGAGUGCAGAAGGGGCAACUGGAAUUCUCGGUGUAGCGGUGAAAUGCGUAGAUAUCGAGAGGAACACCUGCGGCGAAGGCGGGUUGCUGGGCUGACACUGACGCUGAGGCGCGAAAGCUAGGGGAGCGAACGGG